rnacentral:tRNA from 1 species
CUCCGUGUAGCUCAGUUUGGUAGAGCGCCUGGUUUGGGGCCAGGAGGUCUAAGGUUCAAAUCCUUAUAUGGAGA